rnacentral:rRNA from 1 species
CCUACGGUGUGCAGCAGUGAGGAAUAUUGGUCAAUGGGCGGGAGCCUGCACCAGCCAAGUCGAGUGAUGGAUGACGGCCCUAUGGGUUGUAAACCUCUUUUGCCGGGGAACAAAGGCGGAGACGCGUCUCCGGAUGAGUGUACCCGAAGAAAAAGCAUCGGCUAACUCCGUGCCAGCAGCCGCGGUAAUACGGAGGAUGCGAGCGUUAUCCGGAUUUAUUGGGUUGAAAGGGUGCGCAGGCGGGAGAUCAAGUCAUCGGUAAAAUGUCGGGGCUCAACCUCGGCCGGCGGUUGAAACUGGUUUUGUAGAGUGGGAGAGAAGUAUGCGGAAUUCGUGGUGUAGCGGUGAAAUGCAUAGAUAUCACGAAGAACUCCGAUUGCGAAGGCAGCAUACCGGCUCCAUACUGACGCUGAGGCACGAAAGCGUGGGGAUCGAACAGGAUUAGAUACCCCUGUAGUC